GCGGAGGGCCCGCCGGAACCGCCAUACAGGUGGAGGUUCCAAACCACCCUAAGGUGCUGUGGACAAAAGCCAUGGUAUUGAGCGUUAGGGAAACGCUGAU
rnacentral:ncRNA from 1 species